CAUGCUUUUCUAUGAGGUGUUGAAGGUCAGUUGUUUUACAACUUCAGAAGGAAGAAAAGAAAACAGGCUGAUGGUGACACUCCUUUCAGCAAGAUUUGGUAUUUAUUUAAACAAUUGAUUCAGCAGGGGUUUUUUGUAUUAAUGCUGCUCUUUUGGUUGUGUUUGCUUUUCUGAGCAUUUGACUAAUCGUCAGUGUUUCUCACAAAGUAGGAGUGUUUUUCAGAAAAAGCAAGCAAUUGUGGUAUAAAGCAAGAAUAGCCUCAAAAAGCAGUUUUGGGGCUUUUUUGGAUUUGGCUUUGAUUUUGUUUGGUUUUGUUACCCAAAACUAUUUAACUUUACUACUGUAUGUUUUAAAGUUUUCUCCAAAAACCUGGAAUUAAUUUCCCUUUUCUGCCCCAUUGAUAGGCACUGUUUCUCUUAGACAAGCUUCUACCCUCCACUGUUUUGAAGCAGUGCUCCAGUUUAGCCUGCAGUGAUGGCUCUUGCAUCCUUUUCCAUUCAGCUCCUGCGUACGGUGAAAACUGAGUGUGUACACACGUGAGAAAUGGCUGCUUUUCUCCAGGCAAGCACGUGAAUUUCAGAACUCUAAGAAAUAAAGUCCUGACCUACCUGUAGUGAUUUGGGUGUCAGGAGGCACCUGGGAGCCUCCUUUGGUGUCCUGGGUGUGGCCGUGGCUGUAAAAGGAUGGAGCAGGGGGGAGAGGAGCAGUGAUUGGGAGCGAUGGUUCCUUGGGGAUUUGCAUCUGGAAACAGCCAUCCUUUUCCCCAUGGGAGUCCUGGAAACAGCACUGAGCAAUGAGGAUACUGCAGCUGGAGCGCUGGCAAUGGAGCGUCUGCAGGGAAUAUUGCCUG